rnacentral:rRNA from 1 species
UACGAAGGGGGCUAGCGUUGCUCGGAAUCACUGGGCGUAAAGCGCACGUAGGCGGCUUUUUAAGUCAGGGGUGAAAUCCUGGAGCUCAACUCCAGAACUGCCUUUGAUACUGCGUAGCUUGAGUCUCGGAGAGGUUGGUGGAAUUCUCGGUGUAGAGGUGAAAUUCGUAGAUAUCGAGAGGAACACCGGUGGCGAAGGCGGCCAACUGGACGAAGACUGACGCUGAGACACGAAAGCGUGGGGAGCAAACAGG